rfam:Polysphondylium pallidum PN500 unplaced genomic scaffold PPL_scaffold6, whole genome shotgun sequence.
AGCAUCUUAGCUCAGAGGAAGAGCGGUGGGCCCAUAACCCACAGGUCGGUCGAUCGAAACUUCCAGAUGCUA